rnacentral:rRNA from 1 species
UGCUAAUCUCAAAAAGCCGAUCGUAGUCCGGAUUGGAGUCUGCAACUCGACUCCAUGAAGUCGGAAUCGCUAGUAAUCGCGGAUCAGAAUGCCGCGGUGAAUACGUUCCCGGGCCUUGUACACACCGCCCGUCACACCAUGGGAGUUUGUUGCACCAGAAGUAGGUAGUCUAACCGUAAGGAGGACGCUUACCACGGUGUGGCCGAUGACUGGGGUGAAGUCGUAACAAGGUAGCCGUAGGGGAACCUGCGG